UUUUUUUUUUUUUUGUUUUGCGGGUGGCGGGGCGGGGGUAUACUCCCCCACCCCCGCCGCCCCGCCCCCGCCCCAACCCCGGCCCCAGAGCCCCCGCGCGGGUACCCGCCCCCAUUGCCAUCCCUAGUCUUGUUACCUAAAUAGUAAAAGUAAGGGAACUAGAGGUAAUUUCUAAAAUUUGAGGGAAACUCUUUGCAACUGUUAGAUACUCAAGGUCAAGGGAGGUUUGUGAAAUUAUCCCUUCCUUUUAAACAUACUAGGAUGCAGAAUGGGAAUAGCCCACCAAUCCCUCGUGACAUUGGACUCAACAUUCUUGGUUGCGUAAAAUUUAAGGUCUUAAUUCUCAAUGAUAUUACAAAUUAACUAAAGUUAAUUAAUAGAAGUUUCAAGAAUUCAUUGAUUAUUAUCUCCUUCAAAAAAAAUAAAAUAAAAGUUCAAUUAAUUUGAGAUCACUUUGUGUCUCUAUUUUGAACCAAGAAGCAAAAUGGCUAGUGUGAAAAAAAGAUGCGUGUCUUUGUCUCAAGUGGGCAAAAUGCUGCUUAUCCCUAAUUACAUUCGAGUUUAGUGUAAUUGGCCCUUUAUUUUGUUUCAAUUUGAUUGCGAGGAGCUGAAAACACUUUGUUGCGAGGAUUUUUUUUCUCCACACAACGGGCCCCAGCAACAAGACGAUUCAAGUGAGAAUGCCAACCAACUUCCUCGAAAAUAAAUUUGAAAAUUUUUUUGCCAACAAACAACUGCCACUACACGGAUUGAGGGCUCAUGAUCUGUCACAUAAUUAUUGUUAUUUCUUGGCGUAUUGCUGGGUUGAUGCAUGAAUUACCAAACGGUUUAACAAAAACAAGGAAUGUGCAUUAAUGCCCCAUUUUUUUAAAAUUAGAUUACAAAAAUGGAUCGUUCCAGUUACUCUUUUUUGAAUAUAUUAGGAUGUAUGGUGGAAAUGGCAUACCAAGCACCGAUGAUUGAGGCUAUUUAUGUAAUGUUAACACUAAAGUUGUUAAUUUAAAAUAACGUUGAUAUUUAAAUAUAUCUGACAGGUGCCGAACCUGUGCAAUAAUAAAUACCUACUCGAGAAAAAUACAGAUUUUGCAUAUAGCGGUGAGUAGGGUCGAAUCCACAGGGACUGGGGAUAAUUCGUUUCUUCUAGAGUCCAGAGUAUGGGGGGUUUUGGAUUAUAUGCUAACUAAAUAAAUUAACUGCAGAAAAUAAUUAAUUCAAAGAAAUAAUUAAGGGAAAACUCUAGCCAAGGGUACAUUUCAGAAAUGGUUCAGGCACUGAUCAUUGAUUCACACAUAAUUCCACAUUUAUUAAUAGACCAGUUAUAGUUGUCAUGCACGCGAUAAACAACCAACCUUUCCUUAAUUUCUCGAUAGUUAAGGUACGACCGUUAACUAUUUCUCUAACCCAAAAACAACCCUAGGUACGACCGUAGGAUUUAAUUUCUAGAUUGCAUUAAUAAUUAGAAAGGCCCAAUCCUAACUAACAAACACGCUACGAGGGUUUUUUUAAGUUAGAUCGUAUGCUCCCUGACAUAAACCCAAUUACGCCAGUUGCUACUGAGAUAAAGAUAACGAACAAUUACGGAUUCAAUUAUCCCUAUUUAGCAAAAUAGCCUAUGUGAAUAAUUAAAUAUUGCGCAUCUAUUCAAUCACUCACACGAGCUAUAGCAAUUAAAAGCAGGAAACAUAUAAAUACCAAUAAAUUAAGGAAGCAAUUAAAAUAAAUUAGAUCUCACAGUAAUUGUUGAACCAAAUCUUCAGUUGUCCCCUUGACUAGAAUUAAGAUGUUAGUCCUCCAUUAAUGGAGAACAACCAUGCGAAAGAGCUAAGAGAAGAAAACUAAAAACUAAACUAAAAAAACCUAAAACUAGUGAUUGAUAAGAGUUCUCUGUACGUUUGUCUCCUUUUUAAAGCCAAAAAGAAGUCUAAUGCUAUCUCUAGUGGUCCCCACACCAAAUUCAAAGUCUUGUACGUUUCUUUUCCUAGAGUCCAAAUGACUCAUGCUUCUUAUCCGUGGUCCCCGCACAUGUGGACAAAACCUCCAAAGUACUUGUUGUUCCAAAUCUCUCUACGUUGCUUUCUUUGAAAAGCCCCAAAUGACUAAAUGCCUUGCACUAACUUGUGGUCCCCACCAAUUCAAGGACCCAAAGGUUGAAUCCCUUAGAAGUCUGCAUUUUUCCAUACAAGUCCCUCCUUUUUGGUAAUUUUCUGUUUCACUCCUGAAAUUGAUUCCAAAUACCAAAUAUGAGUAAAUAUCAGCAAUUAACACAAUAUUUGUCAGGGAUAGAAGGGGAAAUCAAUAAUAAAAUUACUAACAAAUUAUACCCUAUCAAUUCCCCCCACACCUGAAUCAUGCUUGCCCUCAAGCAUGGAACAACAAUUGAACACCAAAAUUCGACCAUGGCUGUUACUCCAACUACCGUAUUGCCAAGACACCAAGAAAAUCAUAUAUCAAGCGACACACGUCAAGAUCCAAGAAAAAUCACUCCGGUUAGCAUCUAAACUACCAACUCCUCCAAUUUCAAGCAAACUAAUCUAAGAAAAAGGAAUAGUUGCUCACAUUUAUCAGCAAAUGGUCCAACUAUUAAUCCAAAUCUCAACAAACCCAUAGAUCGGUAAGCUGACUUUAGACACACACUUACACAACCUUCACCUUUUUUAUCACGUUUUUCUAUUUUUCUCUUUUUUUCUUUUUUUUUUUUUUUUACUAUUUUUUUUCUUUUUCAAUAAUAACAAAAGACUUAGUUUCUAGCCAUUAGAGCCUUUUGACGCGAACUCCAACAUUUGAUAGAUGGAGGAGCCCGGUUACUCAGCUCCAAUCGCUACGAGACCAUGCACUCAUAGCAACUACUACCUUUUGACGCGAAAAUCAACACUUAAUCACUUUAGGUGAAGAUCCCCGGUUACUCAGUCAGUAGUAACACUACUAGUGAGUACUAGUCAACUCUAUUAUUUACAAUCAUAUAACACAACAACUAAAAAUAACAGCAGCCAGCCUCAAAUUCCAAACAUGGAGAACUAAAAUUAAUAAUUGGACCAAUUCACAUGAAGAAUGCCAACAAUCAUUCCCUAUCCUAGAAGAGUUAACCAAAAUUGGAAAAGUCAAGCAAGUAUUGAUAUUCACCAAAGAGAUGUUCCUGAACUCAACUACAUCAACUUGAUAUCCUUUUAUUACUAAAACUUGGCAAUAGCAGAAUUAGAAACAGCGAAUCCAGUAUCAAAACUUGGUAUUCAUAUAAAAACUGAUCACUAGUAAAAGUAAAAAGAAAAUAAACGAAAAAAUAGAACAAAUAACAACGAAAAUAAAGGAAAAAAAAACUAAAAACUGAACACCAGAAAUACAGCGUACCACAGCUCUCCCCCCACACCUAAAUCCGACACUGUCCUCAAUGGAGGUAAUAUAGCAAUUAAAGCGAAGAGAAAAACGAAACUUCCCUCUCAAGCGGCUACGGCAUAGGCGGGAACGGGGGAGUGAAGCAGACAUGGUGGAAGUACGCGGCCAGGUUCUUAGAGAUUGGAGCCACCUGGUUGGCGAUAUGCAUUACUUGCUCAUCCGCGUGGUGAACCUGAUCUCGGAAGUGGCGCCACUUAGCAUCAGAGGCCAUCGGUGGGAGAGGCCACUUAGCAAAUUCAAAACAAUAACAAUUUAAUAGCCACUGGUGCCUCCCUCGUAGACAACCCAAUCAACAAAAUGCACAACCUAGGCACCUAGAGACUAUACAAAUAUCCCAACAAUACAGCAAUUUGAAUGAAUAUGCACUGGGUCUCCCAUUCAGUCAAAAUAAGAUCAAGGGGCACGAUACAGAAACUAACAAAGCAGAACUAGGGGAAAGGGGAAAGCAGCGGGGAAGAAGGAAGAAAGAAAAAGAAGAAAGAAAGAAAGAAAGAAAAGAAAAAGAAGGAAAGAAAAAAGAAAAGAAAAAAAAAUAGUUUUUUGGGAUUUUUUUUUUUAGUUUAGAAUUUGAAUUUUCCAAAAUAAAAUCGCAGGUUACAAUGGAAAGUAUUUUUUUUUAUUUUUUUCUAAAAAAAAAAUUUUUUUUUUCAAUAAAGAGAAAUAUAAAAAUAUAAAAAUUUUUCUUUUGUCUUUGGGUCGUCAAACACCGCGUGGGCACGCCAAGAUUGACAAACGUCCACUGAUCUCAAGAGUCACAAACACCGCGUGGGCACGCCAAGAUUGCACUUCCUGCCACAGUGGAGAAAAAUAUGAAGAUCGAUUACUACUCAACUGAGAAACGAAAAACGAAAGAAAUGAACAACGAAAAAUAAUAAAAUCAAUAUUUGGGUUGCCUCCCAAAAAGCGCCUUUCUUUAAUGUCUUUGGCUAGACAUUAUUAUGUUUUUUUUUCAUGGAGGAUAAAAUCGUGUGGCUCGUCUCAAUGCUUCAUCUUCAAUGUGAUCCUGGUAAUCCUCAUAGAUGGAGUAAUCUUUGAACACACGAGCUACGGUCUUCCAUGGAGUAGUAGAUGGCGCCAAAUAAUCAAGCAGUGAUCUCAAUUCUUCAUCCACUCCUCCAUCAAGAGCACUCAACGGUUCAAGAUAUUUGACCAUAGAUACUCUUAACUCAUUCCUGCCAUGAGACUCAAGAACUUCCGGUAUAACAAAAUCAAUCUCAUUAACAGAAAUUGUAGAGUCAGAGUUAAGAAAAUGCGGGUUAGGGAAUGGAGAUAGUGUCACCACAUUUGAUGAUUCUUCACUGGAUUCUUUCACUUGAAUGGGUUGCGGUUGGGGUUCCAUUUCUUCCUUUUCGGCUUCUUUUUCAACUGCAUCUGUACAUCUCUCUUCUUGAAAAUCUUGCAGCUCCUCAUCACUAGUCAGGCGAAUUGCACUCUCAUUUUCAACAAUGGUUUUCGAGGGCAAUUCUUCAAAUUGAGAAGCCAGUCGAUUUAUUCUGAAUGUCAAUAGACACAUUUGAUCUUCCAGAUUACUCAUUGCCUCCUUCAUCAUCUCAUUUCUCCUUUGUGUCUCCUGUUGAAAUUGAUAUGUAUUAAUAGCUAUUGAUUCAACUAUUUCUUCAAGAGACAUACCUGACAUAGAUGACGAUUCUUGAGACUCAUACUGCUGAAAAUUCAUUGGCCCCGUUGUAUAAUUAUAAUCGGAGUUAUCCCACCAUUCUUGAUCAUACCCGUUUGGAUUAGGGUUAUACCACGUUUGAGACCAGGGUGAAAAAUCUCCAUAAUUAUUGAGGGGGACACUCAGAUUAUCUUGAUAUUCGGGGCACAUACCGGUUGAAUGAUCCCUGGCAUAACAAAUUUUACAGGUUGCAGCAGCCAUUCUUUCUCUAAUAGAGUUUAGUGCCUCUGAAUAUGCAAACUUAGCAAAAAAACUAGUCUCAUCGCCUUCCCCGGAAACAAGAUCCAGACUAUCACCAAAAUAUGGAGUGUUAGAAGCCAUAAACUAUAUAAAAAAAAUAUGAGAAAAAUAAAAAAAAAUAAAAAAUAAAAAAUAAAAACAAAAUGAACUAAAAAAGAAACAAAUUAAUCUGACACCAGUCCCCGGCAACGGCGCCAAAAAUUGACAGGUGCCGAACCUGUGCAAUAAUAAUUACCUACUCAAGAAAAAUACAGAUUUUGUAUAUAGCGGUGAGUAGGGUCGAAUCCACAGGGACUGGGGAUAAUUCGUUUCUUCUGGAGUCCAAAGUGUGGGGGGUUUUGGAUUAAAUGCUAACUAAAUAAAUUAACUGUAGAAAAUAAUUAAUUAAAAGAAAUAAUUGUGGAAACUCUAGCCAAGGGUACACAUCAGAAAUGGUUCAUGCAACUGAUCAUCGAUUCAAAUAUAAUUCCAACAUUUAUUAAUAGAUUAGUUAUAGUUGUCAUGCACGCGAUAAACAACCAACCUUUCCUUACUUUUUCGAUAGUUAAGGUACGACCGUUAACUAUUUCUCUAACCCAAAAACAACCCUAGGUACGACCGUAGGAUUUAAUUUCUAGAUUGCAUUAAUAAUUAGAAAGGCCCAAUCCUAACUAACAAACACGCUACGAGGGUUUGUUUAAGUUAGAUCGUAUGCUCCUCUGACAUAAACCCAAUUACGCCAGUUGCUACUGAGACAAAGAUAACGAACAAUUACGGAUUCAAUUAUCCCUAUUUAGCAAAAUAGCCUAUGUGAAUAAUUAAAUAUUGCGCAUCUAUUCAAUCACUCACACGAGUUAUAGCAAUUAAAAGCAGGAAACAUAUAAAUACCAAUAAAUUAAGGAAGCAAUUAAAAUCAAUUAGAUCUCACAGUAAUUGUUGAACCAAAUCUUCAGUUGUCCCCUUAACUAGAAUUAAGAGGUUAGUCCUCCAUUAAUGGAGAACAACCAUGCGAAAGAGCUAAGAGAAGAAAACUAAAAACUAAACUAAAAACCUAAAACUAGUGAUUGAUAAGAGUUCUCUGUACGUUUGUCUCCUUUUUAAAGCCAAAAGGAAGUCUAAUGCUAUCUCUAGUGGUCCCCACACCAAAUUCAAAGUCUUGUACGUUUCUUUUCCUAGAGUCCAAAUGACUCAUGCUUCUUAUCCGUGGUCUCCGCACAUGUGGACAAAUCCUCCAAAGUACUUGUUGUUCCAAAUCUCUCUACGUUGCUUUCUUUGAAAAGCCCCAAAUGACUAAAUGCCUUGCACUAACUUGUGGUCCCCACCAAUUCAAGGACCCAAAGGUUGAAUCCCUUAGAAGUCUGCAUUUUUCCAUACAAGUCCCUCCUUUUUGGUAAUUUUCUGUUUCACUCCUGAAAUUGAUUCCAAAUACCAAAUAUGAGUAAAUAUCAGCAAUUAACACAAUAUUUGUCAGGGAUAGAAGGGGAAAUCAAUAAUAAAAUUACUAACAAAUUAUACCCUAUCA
rnacentral:lncRNA from 1 species